rnacentral:tRNA from 1 species
AGUUACUUGAUGCCUGAUUAAAGGGCUAUUUUGAUAGAAUAGAUUAUGAGUUAUUACUCUCAAG